AGAGAGAGAGAGGUGGACAGAGAGUGAGCUGUGGAAAGAUGUACAUAGAGAAAGAUCCUGUAAUUGAAUCUUGUAGAUGUUAUUACACUCUUGAUCCAGGACACACACACACAAAGGAGUCAGAGUAAGUCACAUGAUCAUGUGUUAUGAAGUCAUCAAUGUAAUUCCAUGCUUUUGCUGAUGAGAUUUAUUUUCACAAAUGUCACAUCGUCUGUGAGAGCCCUUUGAUUAUUUCUUCAUCUCUCUCAAAAGAAACUCUAGAAAGAUCACAAAGGCAGGUGGUCCCUAGACUGUGUGUUCUUAUUUCCUAUGUCUCUAGUUUACAAGUGUUCACUAGUUUACAGGUGUUCAUUACUUUGCCAGGGUUCAUUAGUUUACAGGUGUUCAUUAGUUUACAGGUGUUCAUUAGUUUACAGGUGUUCAUUAGUUUACAAGUGUCCAUUAGUUUACAGGUGUUCAUUAGUUUACAGGUGUUCAUUAGUUUACAAGUGUCCAUUAGUUUACAAGUGUUCACUAGUUUACAGAUGUUCAUUAGUUUACAAGUGUCCAUUAGUUUACAGGUGUUCAUUAGUUUACAAGUGUUCACUAGUUUACAAUUGUUCAUUAGUUUACAAGUGUUCACUAGUUUACAAUUGUUCAUUAGUUUACAGGGGUUCCCCAGUUUACAAGUGUUCAUUAGUUUGCAAGGGUUCCCUGGUUUCCAAGUGUUCAUUAGUUUAAAAGUGUCCAUUAGUUUACAGGUGUUCAUUAGUUUACAGGGGUUCCCCAGUUUACAGGUGUUCCUUAGUUUACAGGUGUUCCUUAGUUUACAGGUGUUCAGUAGUUUACAGUGGAUUCCUA
ensembl:lncRNA